AUUGCACGCUGGCGGCAGGCCUAACACAUGCAAGUCGAACGAGUGGCGGACGGGUUAGUAAUUUCUGGGAACCUGCCUGAUGGAGGGGGCUAACUACUGUAACCGGUAGCUCCUGCCGCAUCCCAUCGUAUGUGCCCAGAUUGGAUUAGCUAGUAGGUGGGGUAAAGGCUCACCUAGGCGACGAUCCCUAGCUGGUCUGAGAGGAUGACCAGCCACACUGGAACUGAGACACGGUCCAGACUCAUACGGGAGGCAGCAGUGGGGAAUAUUGCACAAUGGGCGCAAGCCUGAUGCAGCCAUGCCGCGUGUAUGAAGAAGGCCUUCGGGUUGUAAAGUACUUUCAGCGGGGAGGCGUUACCCGAAGAAGAAGCACCGGCUAACUCCGUGCCAGCAGCCGCGGUAAUAC
rnacentral:rRNA from 1 species